GUCGAGAAUCUUUCACAAUGGGGGCAACCCUGAUGGAGCGACGCCGCGUGGAGGAUAAGGUCUUCGGAUUGUAAACUCCUGUCAUGCGUGAACAAGGUUGCUUGGAUAAUACCUGAGCAAAUUGAUGGUAGCGCAAGAGGAAGAGACGGCUAACUCUGUGCCAGCAGCCGCGGUAAUACAGAGGUCUCAAGCGUUGUUCGGAAUCACUGGGCGUAAAGGGUGCGUAGGUGGCGUGGCAAGUCAGAUGUGAAAGCCCGGGGCUCAACCUCGGAACUGCAUCCGAUACUGCCAUGCUAGAGUACUGGAGGGGUGACUAGAAUUCUCGGUGUAGCAGUGAAAUGCGUAGAUAUCGAGAGGAAUACCAAAGGCGUAGGCAGGUCACUGGACAGUUACUGACACUGAGGCACGAAGGCCAGGGGAGCGAACGGGAUUAGAUACCCCGGUAGUCC
rnacentral:rRNA from 1 species